rnacentral:rRNA from 1 species
GGGGAAUAUUGCACAAUGGGCGAAAGCCUGAUGCAGCAACGCCGCGUGAGUGAUGAAGGCCUUCGGGUUGUAAAGCUCUGUCUUUUGGGACGAUAAUGACGGUACCAAAGGAGGAAGCCACGGCUAACUACGUGCCAGCAGCCGCGGUAAUACGUAGGUGGCAAGCGUUGUCCGGAUUUACUGGGCGUAAAGGAUGCGUAGGCGGAUAUUUAAGUGAGAUGUGAAAUUCCCGAGCUUAACUUGGGAGCUGCAUUUCAAACUGGAUAUCUAGAGUGCGGGAGAGGAGAAUGGAAUUCCUAGUGUAGCGGUGAAAUGCGUAGAGAUUAGGAAGAACACCAGUGGCGAAGGCGAUUCUCUGGACCGUAACUGACGCUGAGGCAUGAAAGCGUGGGUAGCAAAC